UCUGGUGACAAUGGCAAGGAGGUCACACCUGUUCCCAUGCCGAACACAGAAGUUAAGCUCACCUCGUUAAUUUAGUUUAGUGAUGUUUAUUAAAUUAUACGAAAGUGCUUUAU
rnacentral:rRNA from 1 species